rnacentral:snoRNA from 1 species
CCCCUCUAAGGAUGGCACCUGGAGAGUUUCCAGUAAGCUUCCAGUCUCAACUACGGGAGGGAGAGUCAAGCAGAGGCCUAACCAUUCCAUUCCUAGCUUGGGCAGUGGCUAAUGAGUGGAAGGCAAUCUGCUACAAGU